AGGGAGAAUGAUAUCCAUCCCGUCUCAGCGGCAUCACUAUCACACCAGACAGGACUAUAACAGGACACUCCCUCUCAGCACCAGAUGAUUCGUCAUCAGUAGGAACAUUAGGAGGCACUGGGCAUACUGGGGGAAGUCAAGAUAUAAUGAUGCCAUUUCAUAAAAGUGGCCAUUUCUGAAGAAAGAACUAUGUCAGUGGUGUUCUUGCAGCCACUUUCCUGCCAGCACAUGUGUGACCAUGAAGCAUUGGACAGAUACACUGAGAUCCUCAAACAGGAUCCACAGGCAGGCCCGCAGACCUGCAGUGCAGCGGCGGCAACACGCCAACCUGUGCCGGGCUCCCACCACAGCCCCGUCCAAAACGCUUAAUCAAAAGGGACACUCUCUCCACUUGGUUCCCGAUGAAAAGGAAGCAGUUGGCCCAUGCUGGCACCUAGGCAGCUCGACGGAUAAAAACCCCAGAUUGGUCUAAUCUCCACUACAGUGCGGGAACAUUGGAGAGGAGGCCUGUGAUACAAUCUGCAUUUUCCAGCAGGUGCCAUUUCAAAGCAAACUGCUCAGCGAGGUGUCUGAGGUUGUGAUGAAGCAUAAAAGAGCCCACAGGAAGGAGCCACCAUAUCGGAGAAAAAUGGAGAGAAAAGAGUCCGUGGAAGUUCUCCGGAUCUUUCGGCUGUUCAGGAACGCCAAAGAACAUUUCAGUUUGGGGAACAGGUUGAAGGAAGCAGUUGAAAAUGGCUACCAUGUGCAGGAUCCCCUGCUGCUGCUGCAGCCGGUUUGCCUAUAGAGCCUGGGCCUGGGAGCUCAGUGGGAGGACAAGAAAGAAUCAGUGCGUUCCUCGUCAUUUGUCUGCUAUAUAUAUAAUUCUUUGGUGCUGGUACUUCUGACCUGUGCAACAUUCAUAGGGGACAAUGAAAGGAAACG